rnacentral:lncRNA from 1 species
GAUCAAUUGAAGAAACAGAUCAUCUAAACAAAUUUGGCAGGUUCCAUAUGAGAGGAGACACUGAGAGAUUUGUAGGCAGCAAACAUCUAAUUGGCAAAAAAAACAAUUAUGAGAAACAUGUAACUUUACCACAGUAACAAUUAACUAGGGCUCCACAAUCAAAUAUUGAACAAUACAGUGGCAUGUGAAUUGGUGCUACGAUCGGUGAAGUCAAAAAAGAGCAAUGGAUGAGACCAAUUCAUCUCCCAGCAACUUAAAUGUUGGCUCGGGUCUCCACCGAUACAAUACCAGUUGUUGUCUUAUUGUUUAGUCUUAUUUGUCAUGCACGAUCUGUCUCGCGUUGUAUUAAGUUUGAGACUGUGUUGGAACUCAAAGAAAUUAAAUAGAUAGGAAAAUCGGAAAAGAAAUUUAGUUUUGUCCACUUCUUUACAACCUGUCCUUUGCUUUUUACCUUUCCUUCCAAUUCUCCAUGCACACCAAGAUUCAUAUAAACUAAGAGACUUUGAUUGGCAACAUUGAAAAAGAAAUUGCUCUGGAAUGCAUUCCUUCGUAUACCAAUUAUAAGUGUAUGUUGAAGCCAAUGGACAUGAAAGUUCUACAAUUCAACAAUGAAACUCCCAAACCGUAAUACCAUGCAGAGCCAUUUGUUAGAUGAAAAUAACUGAAAAAUGGGGCAGACUCUCAACACCAAAGCAGAACACCCAUUGUUGAGCUACAAUUUUCAAUCCUAGUGCAUCUGGUUGAUGUAAUUCAAAGGUCAAUAUUCUCGGGGUACAUGUAAGAUAUUUAUGAUAAUCUUUCUAGAGAAAGGGUUUUCUAUAUCACUGCCGAACAAAAAUGUCAAAAUAUUCCAUCGACCUAGGGUAAAGAAAAUAUGCUUGUUGAUCGUACAACUAUUGGUGACUUAAUGAGAGAUGGGCCGACCGACUCAAGAUUUAGGAAUGCAUGAUUUUUAACUGAUUGAGAGAAUAGCAGACAGUGAAGAACCUGUGUGGGAAUUUCACUUCCAAUUCGCUAGUACGAAUGCUGACAAAACUGCCAUGGCCUUAGCCUCCAAAAGACGCUAAGAGUUAGUCGGCGGUCCUCCUCAAUAUUCUCCAGCCAAUAAAAAAAGAUUGAAGGAGUUCAAUAUCAAAUGGUGAGCUUUCAAGUAAGUUUUAAUCUCUUACAAUAACCAAUAGCAUGAAUAAGUCAAUUGAAGGACAACACUGAUCUGUGUUAUAUGAUUAUUGUGUACAGAAAAAAAACUAACAAUGUCUGCAAUAAGGUCUUUUUAGGAGGUAGUGAAUUAGUGUGCCCAAUGAUUUUUUGAACAGAAACUGUAACUAUGUUCCUAACUUCGGUUGACGGGUUAAGCUUAAGAAGCAAACAGGCCAGGUUUAAGCAUUAUGGUGCAAGUUUUACAUAUAUUUUAACAAUAAAUAAAUAUUAAAUGGUGCGAGACUGCCCCAAAGUUAUAUAUGUUCUAUCCUAUCUAAAUGGAGGUUUUUAGCUUUCGAGGCAUAAGUAUAACCCAAAUCUCACUUUCAAAAAAUGGAAAAAAAAUAAACAGAUCACCCAACUGUGUCCAACGAUUAGAUUAUAAGCCACCUGAAGUGCCCAACAAGUUAAAUCUGCAUUUUCAGAGUCAUCCUUUAUCAAGUUUUGAGAAGUAACCAUGAACUAUUUUGUGCACAUUGCUCCCUUAUAAAACAAAUCAUUUUCUUUUCAUCACAAGGAUACAAAUCAUCUUAGACAUGCUUUUAAAAAGGGGUUCUCUUCAAGCUAUAGUUUAUUUUCCAAGCUUAAGCAAGAUUACUCAAACUCACCGGUUGCUGACACUUGACAGAUGAAAUUUACUGAAUUUGACGUAGCGUCAUCUUCUAAAACUGUUAUAUCCAAGUUAUAUAACAUAACCACAAGAAAUAACUUUGAUCGACUAUAUUGCAUGAAGUAUCUGAUUUUGAGGCAUUAUGGAAAUUAUUGGUUGACUAAAACUUGUAGGGGAGAAUUUUGUGCUCUCAGUGCAUAGGGCUAAGUUCAGCAAACUGCCUCUAUUGGAAGUUUCAAUCGCUCAUGAAAUGAUUUUGUGGAUUUUCUUUUGUUAGGUAACAUAACUGAAAACACACAAACACACACGUACCAAAAAAAGUUCUAGCAUGGCCACUAUAAUCUGUGAAUAAUUUUUUUCGUGAAACUGUAGUUUGCAAUAAUGAUUUUGUACAAUAAUUAAAAGCUUGUGAAGAUUAUACAGACAUAAUGGAAGCCAGUAAAGAAUCGUAAAAACACAUCCUUUAGUAAUAGAAAAAAUAAUAAGUAACAGGAUUCAGUACCCGAUGCCAUCAAGCAACCGAUGAAGUAGAUGAGAUCAACUCCAGUAGUUUGCUAUUAAGCUACUAUUUGUCACAAGAAAGCCACCCGAAGGAAAUAUAAUUCUCUGCUCAACUUGAUAGGCUACAAAAUCAAGUCCACUCCCGCUCGAGUCGGUCACCUAAUAACAAGUUAAUCCUUAUGUCAAACUUACAAUAAACAACCCAUCCCAAUGAAGCAGCAAGUGUGUGUUUCCAUCUGUUUUGUUUACCGAAAACAAUGUGCUUUCUUUUGUUUUACUAAUAAAAAGUAUAAAAUGGAUUCCCAAAGCUUUCAUUGGUAUUGGAAAUGAAACUAUCUGGAAUAUAAAGAUCCAUAAAGUAUGGUUGUGGAUUGAUGCAACCUUUCCCCCUGUUUCGGGCACACAUAUAAUCCCCAACAACAGAGCCUGUAGUUUUUAAAUGAAUGAAGAUUAGACAUGUAGAAACAGACAAUUUCCAAUACACAUAUAUCUAGAGACUAAUAGGAUACCUUGAUUCAAUGUUUGGGCUAGUUUCACAAGAAUAAAGCCCUACCAAAGCCACCCAUUAAGUAUCUUGCACAACUACUACAAGGACAGGCCUACUGCAUCAGAUGCAAUGCACAAGAGUGAAGACCAUGAAACAAUUAGAAUAUAGAUCAAUCCUCUGGUUCACUUUAACAAAAAUGAAGAACAUCAUCAAAGGCAAGCAAAGUAAAGGGUAAAAAACAGUCCAUGUGACCAAUCCUCUAAAAUUAAGACACCACUAGAUUUAGUCUAAUAGCACUAAUAAUUUCUUGCAACUGCACUCGUAAUCAGCACACAAUACAAUAAGAAAUCUAUUUAAAUUGAAUAAAUAUGGGCCCGUCUCGAUUAAAAUGAAGAUUAGAGGGAGUGACAGACGUAAUGCACACGAAGUUAAAUGAGAAAGCCCAUGAUCAGACUCAUAAUGACAUUAAAAACCUUAUGAUCAUAAAGAGAGCAACACAGUUAUUUCAAUGUGCACUGCCAAUUAAGUUCUGCCAAAUUACUGGGCUGUCGCCUGUCAUGUUUUCCUAAAAUGGGACAAAUUUGCUAGAACAAUGCCCAAGCCCUAAAAAAAAUUUAGGCUUAGGCCAAGUUUGCCCUUUGACAAAUGUGCAUCUUAAGGCCUACUGAUGGCCCUAGGGUAUUCAGACUCUGGAGGCUCGAGCUUGAGAUUAGGUUAGGUAGUGAUUGAAAACCCAUUUUAGCCCCGACAAAUUAAUAACAUGCUGGUCAUUUUUUUUCCACCCGUCUGAGUGACCGUCGUCAUCAACUGGAUCACCUUGAGACGGAAUGUAAAGUUGAAGUUUAAACUUGUCAAAAAAUUAUGAUUUCUAUAUUUUUCCCUAAAUAUUUCAAUUCGUAAAAAAAAUAAUUGGCACAUAAUUUUGAAAUACCAAGUAGAGAUAGUUGUAUAAUACUUUCCUUUUGCUUCAGCUGUGCGUAUCUUUUUAUUUUCGUAAGAAAACACUUCCCAUAAAAAAAUGCCGUUCUUUUCAAAAUCAUUACCCGUAUUGAUAUAUUGAUGUAAUAUGUAAAAAUAAUAAAAAUGCACAACAAUAAAAAAAAAUUAAAUGAAACAUGAAAAUAUGAUAGCGGAUUCUCAAAUUCGACUCCCCCUAAGACUACGCCGAGUAUCAUAACAAAAAUGAUGGCAUGCAAUAGAAGUUUUUAAAAAAUAAAACAAAACUCUAAACAUCACGAAUAGUGCAAGAACCACUUACAUACAUAUGAACUUGAGAUUAAAUGUUGACUCAAGAGCAAUAUGUAGAUGCAAAUUAUGCAUAUCUAUACAGCUAGAUUAUAUAUGUAAGAGUAUAUAAUGAUGUUAGUUUAUGUUGCUUUGAAUAUUGGGUGAGAUUUGUCUAUGGUCUCCAGGCCAUUUCUUUAACAGAAAGUUUACAUAGUUUAGGGCUAUUUCUAAAUACGAGAUGCCAAGGGUGCGAAGAUGGUGUGCCGUGUUACUACUGUAAGCAAGCACAUGCAUAUUUUUUAACCAUUUGUGGAUGAUAACAUGUUAAGAGUAUAUAAUGAUGUUAGUUUAGGUUGAUUGAAUAUUGGGUGAGAUUUGUCUCUAUGGUCCCAUGCCAUUUCUUUAACAGAAGUUUACAUAGUUUAGGGCAUUUCUAAAUACGAGAUGCCAAGGGUGCGAAGAUGGUGUGGCCGUUGUUACUUAUUAUAAGCAAUCCUGCACAUUGUUUAACCAUUUGUGGAUGAUAAUAUUGUAAGAGUAUAUAAGAUGUUAGUUUAUGUUGAUUGAAUAUUGGGUGAGAUGUUGUCUAUGGUAUCCAGGCCAUUUCUUACAGAAAGUUUACAUAGUUUAGGGAUAUUCUCAAUGACGAGUGCAAAGGGUGCGAAGACUGGCUUUUUUUGUCUUGUGGACGUGUACAUAUUAUAAGCAAUCCCAUGCACAUUGUUUAAACCAUUGUGGAUGCUAUGCUGUAUGCAACAUUACAUGAUUCAUAUAAUCACACCAUCAUGCAUAUUUGUGUAUUUUACCUGCUACUACUGAUGAGUUCACAAUAUGGAGAGGACCAGAGGAAUAAGAAAUCCUAAUUGGUCGGGUAUCAGAGAACUUUCUCAGGAAAUAGGGGCCUUUACAUUUUGCAUACCAUGUAAUUAAGCAAUUGGGACGUUUGGGUCUUCUGGAGAGAUGGAUGGUUGAAUUUGACCUGUUCACUAGCUAACAUGCCUAUGAGAGAAUAUAAACUUGAAUAUGAAAGUACAACAUACUAUAUACCACUCAACGAUUUAUGCCAAUAAUGUUGCUGAUAUGUUGAAAGCCUAAAGUGGGCUAAAGAUCAAUUGAAGGAACAGAUCCCCUAAACAAAUUUGCAAGGUUCAAUCAUGAGAGGAGACAACUGAGAGAUUUGUAAGCAACAAACAAUCUAAUUUGGCAAAACAACAAAUUAUUAAACAUGUAACUUUAUCCACAGUUAACAAUUAACUAGGGCUCCACCAAAUCAAAUAUUGAACACUACAGUGGCAUGUGAAUGUGGUGCUUACGAUCAAUGAAGUCAAAAAAGAGCAUGGAUGAGACCAAUUCGUCUCCCACGUAAAUUAACAUGAUGGCUUGGGUUGCUCCACUGAUCCCAUAACCAGUGGUCUUAUUGGUCCACAUGCACCACGUCGGCAUAUUAAGUUCUGAUACUGUGUUUGGAACUCAAGGAAUUAAAUAGAUAGGAAAAUCGAAAAAGAAAUUUAAUUUUGUCACUUCAUUUACAACCUGUCAUUUGCUUUUUACCUUUCCUUCCACAUAUCUCCAUGCACAUCCAUGAUUCAUAUACAACUAAGAGAAUUUGAUUGGCA